rnacentral:misc_RNA from 1 species
UCUGGCUUAUAGCCAAGCGGUCCCACUAGAGUUCCCAACUUAAUGAUGGUAACUAGCGGCAAGGGUUGCGCUCGUUGCGGGACUUAACCCAACAUCUCACAACACGAGCUGACGACAGCCAUGCAGCACCUGUCACCGCGUGUCCGAAGACAAUUCACCACUUUCAUGGCUAUGCGCGGGAUGUCAAGUCUGGGUAAGGUUUUUCGCGUAGCAUCGAAUUGAACCACAUGCUCCACCGCUUGUGCGGGCCCCCGUCAAUUUCUUUGAGUUUUAAUCUUGCGACCGUACUUCCCAGGCGGGAUACUUAAUGCGUUAGCUGCGACACCGAAUCUAUUAGGUAAUCCGACGUCUAGUAUCCAUCGUUUAGGGCAUGGACUAC